CAUAUUUCAACUCACCCCGUGUUUUAUUCUUUCUGUGUCUCUCCUAUGCUCCCUCCUUAUCUCUCAGCACUUUCUUCUCUUUCGCGCUGGUAAUCUCAGGCAGACAAGUCUCUGGCCGAGCCUACUGGGACGCAACACAUGCUGCGCAUACCAUUUUCAAAGGAAUCCCUAGAACAGCCAGAGGUAUAGAGCAAGAAGCCGGAGGCAGUACAUGGACACCUUCCCAGGUCCAGCAGGUGAAGAAGAGAUGCACUUCAGGAAAAGACCCCCAAGACUUUCUAUAUGCCCCAAACUCACCUUGUGCUGGAGACCAGUGCUUCUGUUCACCAAAAUGGCACCAGCCCUAGGAACUACUACAAGAGCUCCAGGCCACUAUCUUCAUUUUCUUCUGUUCUGGUCCGGGUGCUCAUUUGCCAUAGAGAGGAAAGAAGCCGGCUUCAUACUCUACUGUGCAUGAUCUAAGAAAACACAUAAGAUCACUAUGUGGCGCUCCUAAAGAAGUAUCCCAAACCAGUUUUCAGCUCUCGAGAGAUGUCUCAGAUAUGUGAUUAUAAUCAGUGGGGAUUGCCUAACAUUUUGGCACCUCCCAGUAAUUAUACAUUUUCUUUAAUGUCUA